rnacentral:rRNA from 1 species
UGGGGAAUAUUGGACAAUGGGCGCAAGCCUGAUCCAGCCAUGCCGCGUGAGUGAUGAAGGCCUUAGGGUUGUAAAGCUCUUUCGCCGGUGAAGAUAAUGACGGUAACCGGAGAAGAAGCCCCGGCUAACCUCGUGCCAGCAGCCGCGGUAAUACGAAGGGGGCUAGCGUUGCUCGGAAUUACUGGGCGUAAAGCGCACGUAGGCGGUUUCUUAAGUCGGGGGUGAAAUCCUGGAGCUCAACUCCAGAACUGCCUUCGAUACUGGGAAACUUGAGUUCGGGAGAGGUUAGUGGAACUGCGAGUGUAGAGGUGAAAUUCGUAGAUAUUCGCAAGAACACCAGUGGCGAAGGCGGCUCACUGGCCCGAUACUGACGCUGAGGUGCGAAAGCGUGGGGAGCAAACA